rnacentral:rRNA from 1 species
GACGAACGCUGGCGGCGUGCUUAACACAUGCAAGUCGAACGGAAAGGCCCCCUUGUGGGGUACUCGAGUGGCGAACGGGUGAGUAACACGUGAGUAACCUACCCUUGACUUUGGGAUAACUUCAGGAAACUGGGGCUAAUACCGGAUAGGAGCUCCUGCUGCAUGGUGGGGGUUGGAAAGUUUCGGCGGUUGGGGAUGGACUCGCGGCUUAUCAGCUUGUUGGUGGGGUAGUGGCUCACCAAGGCUUUGACGGGUAGCCGGCCUGAGAGGGUGACCGGCCACAUUGGGACUGAGAUACGGCCCAGACUCCUACGGGAGGCAGCAGUGGGGAAUAUUGCACAAUGGGCGGAAGCCUGAUGCAGCAACGCCGCGUGCGGGAUGACGGCCUUCGGGUUGUAAACCGCUGUCGCCUGUGACGAAGCGUGAGUGACGGUAAUGGGUAAAGAAGCACCGGCUAACUACGUG